rnacentral:tRNA from 1 species
AAGAUCUAAGCCCUUUUCAUAGAGGUUCAAAUCCUCUCGCUAACCAAAUCCUCUCGCUAAC